rnacentral:rRNA from 1 species
GAGUUUGAUCCUGGCUCAGAUUGAACGCUGGCGGCAGGCCUAACACAUGCAAGUCGAGCGGCAGCGACAACAUUGAACCUUCGGGGGAUUUGUUGGGCGGCGAGCGGCGGACGGGUGAGUAAUGCUUGGGAAUAUGCCUUAUGGUGGGGGACAACAGUUGGAAACGACUGCUAAUACCGCAUGAUGUCUACGGACCAAAGUGGGGGACCUUCGGGCCUCACGCCAUAAGAUUAGCCCAAGUGGGAUUAGCUAGUUGGUGAGGUAAUGGCUCACCAAGGCGACGAUCCCUAGCUGGUUUGAGAGGAUGAUCAGCCACACUGGGACUGAGACACGGCCCAGACUCCUACGGGAGGCAGCAGUGGGGAAUAUUGCACAAUGGGCGCAAGCCUGAUGCAGCCAUGCCGCGUGUGUGAAGAAGGCCUUCGGGUUGUAAAGCACUUUCAGUAAGGAGGAAAGGUUAGUCACUAAUAUUGGCUAGCUGUGACGUUACUUACAGAAGAAGCACCGGCUAACUCCGUGCCAGCAGCCGCGGUAAUACGGAGGGUGCGAGCGUUAAU